rnacentral:tRNA from 1 species
GCUCGGUUGGUUAAGUGUCUGACUCUUGAUUUUGGCUCAGGUCAUGAUCUUACGGUUUGCGGGUUCAAGCCCUGCACUGGGCU